rnacentral:rRNA from 1 species
AGUUCGAUUCUUGGCCCAGAUUGAACGCUGGCGGGAUGCUUUACACAUGCAAGUCGAACGGCAGCACGGACUUCGGUCUGGUGGCGAGUGGCGAACGGUGAGUAAUGUAUCGAACGUGCCUAGUAGCGGGGAUAACUACGCGAAGGCGUAGCUAAUACCGCAUACGCCCUUCGGGGGAAAGCGGGGGACCUUCGGGCCUCGCACUAUUAGAGCGGCCGAUAUCGGAUUAGCUAGUUGGUGGGGUAACGGCUCACCACAGCGACGAUCCGUAGCUGGUUUGAGAGACGAUCAGCCACUGGGACUGAGACAUCGGCCCAGACUCUACGGGAGGCAGCAGUGGGGAAUUUUGGACAAUGUGAGUCCUGAUCCAGCCAUCCUGGCGUGUGCACAAGGCCCGGUUGUAAAGCACUUUGGCAGGAAAAGAAACGGCACGGGAUAAUACCCCGUGCAACUGACGGUACCUGCAAUACACCGGCUAACUGCCGCCAGCAGCCGCGGUAAUACAGGGUGCAAGCGUUAAUCGGAAUUACUGGGCGAAGCGUGCGCGCGGUUCGGAAAGAAAGAUGUGAAACCCGGUGUUUCAACUUUGGAACUGCAUUUUUAACUACCGAGCUAGAGUGUGCCCAGAGGGAGGUGGAAUUCGCGUGUAGCAGUGAAAUGCAGAUAUGCGGAGGAACACCGAUGGCGAAGGCAGCCUCCUGGGAUAACACUGACGCUCAUGCACGAAAGCGUGGGGAGCAGAUUAGAUACCCUGGUAGUCCACAGCCCUAAACGAUGUCAACUAGCUGUUGGGGCCUUCGGGCCUUGGUAGCGCAGCUAACGCGUGAAGUUGACCGCCUGGGGAGUACGGUCGCAAGAUUAAACCGCACAACGAUGGGGACUCUACCGCGGUGGAUGAUGUGGAUUAAUUCGAUGCAACGCGAAAAACCUUACCUACCCUUGACAUGUCUGGAAUCCCGAAGAGAUUUGGGAGUGCUCGCAAGAGAACCGGAACACAGGUGCUGUACAGCUGUCGUCAGCUCGUGUCGUGAGAUGCUGAAGCAGUCCCGCAACGAGCGCAACCCUUGUCAUUAGUUGCUACGAAAGGGCACUCUCAUCGAGACUGCCGGUGACAAACCGGAGGAAGGGUGGGGAUGACGUCAAGGUCCCUAUGGCCCUUAUGGGGAAAUACAUCAAGUACAAUGGUCGGGACAGAGGGUCGCUAACCCGGCGAGGGGAGCCAACCCAGAACCCGAUCGUAGUCCGGAUCGCAGUCUGCACCUCGAUCACUGCGUGAAGUCGGAAUCGCCAGUAAUCGCGGAUCAGCAUGUCGCGGUGAAUACGUUCCCGGGUCUUGUACACACCGCCCGUCACACCAUGGAGUGGGGUUUACCAGAAGUAGUUGUUCUUAACCGUAAGGAGUGGGCGAUUACCACGGUAGGAUUCAUGACUGGGGUGAAGUCGUAACAAGGUAG